UUACCAUGCAAGUCGAACGGGAGUGCUUCGGCACUUAGUGGCGGACGGGUGAGUANAGCGNUGAGAAUCUGCCUUCAGGACGGGGACAACGACUGGAAACGGUCGCUAACACCCGAUGAGCCGAGAGGUAAAAACUUUAGUGCCUGAAGAAGAGCUCGCGUCGGAUUAGCUAGUUGGUGAGGUAAGAGCUUACCAAGGCGACGAUCCGUAGCUGGUCUGAGAGGAUGAUCAGCCACACUGGGACUGAGACACGGCCCAGACUCCUACGGGAGGCAGCAGUGGGGAAUUUUCCGCAAUGGGCGCAAGCCUGACGGAGCAACGCCGCGUGCGGGAGGAAGGCCCUUGGGUUGUAAACCGCUUUUGUCAGGGAAGAAGCUCUGACGGUACCUGACGAAUCAGCAUCGGCUAACUCCGUGCCAGCAGCCGCGGUAAUACGGAGGAUGCAAGCGUUAUCCGGAAUCAUUGGGCGUAAAGCGUCCGCAGGUGGUUAAACAAGUCUGCAGUCAAAGCGUGGGGCUUAACUCCAUAUCGGCUGUGGAAACUGUUUGACUAGAGUACGGUAGGGGUCGCGGGAAUUCCCAGUGUAGCGGUGAAAUGCGUAGAUAUUGGGAGGAACACCAGCAGCGAAGGCGCGCGACUGGGCCGUAACUGACACUGAGGGACGAAAGCCAGGGGAGCGAAAGGGAUUAGAUACCCCUGUAGUCCUGGCUGUAAACGAUGGAUACUAGGUGUUGCACGUAUCGACCCGUGCAGUGCCGUAGCUAACGCGUUAAGUAUCCCGCCUGGGGAGUACGCACGCAAGUGUGAAACUCAAAGGAAUUGACGGGGGCCCGCACAAGCGGUGGAGUAUGUGGUUUAAUUCGAUGCAAC
rnacentral:rRNA from 1 species